GAUGAACGCUGGCGGCGUGCCUAAUACAUGCAAGUAGAACGCUGAAGGAAGGAGCUUGCUCUUUCCGGAUGAGUUGCGAACGGGUGAGUAACGCGUAGGUAACCUGCCUGGUAGCGGGGGAUAACUAUUGGAAACGAUAGCUAAUACCGCAUAACAGUAGAUGUUGCAUGAUUUCUAAUUAAAAGGUGCAAUUGCACCACUACCAGAUGGACCUGCGUUGUAUUAGGUAGUUGGUGAGGUAACGGCGCACCAAGGCGAAGAUACAUAGCCGACCUGGGAGGGUGGACGGCCACACUGGGACUGAGACACGGCCCAGACUCCUACGGGGGGCAGCAGUAGGGAAUCUUCGGCAAUGGGCGGAAGGCUGACCGGGCAACGCCGCGUGGGUGAAGAAGGUUUUCGGAUCGUAAAGCUCUGUUGUAAGAGAAGAACGAGUGUGGGAGUGGAAUGUUCACACUGUGACGGUAUCUUACCAGAAAGGGACGGCUAACUACGUG
rnacentral:rRNA from 1 species